CGAACGCUGGCAGCGUGCUUAACACAUGCACGUCGAACGGAAAGGCCCUGCUUUUGUGGGGUGCUCGAGUGGCGAACGGGUGAGUAACACGUGAGUAACCUGCCCUUGACUUUGGGAUAACUUCAGGAAACUGGGGCUAAUACCGGAUAGGAGCUCCUGCUGCAUGGUGGGGGUUGGAAAGUUUCGGCGGUUGGGGAUGGACUCGCGGCUUAUCAGCUUGUUGGUGGGGUAGUGGCUUACCAAGGCUUUGACGGGUAGCCGGCCUGAGAGGGUGACCGGCCACAAUGGGACUGAGAUACGGCCCAGACUCCUACGGGAGGCAGCAGUGGGGAAUAUUGCACAAUGGGCGGAAGCCUGAUGCAGCAACGCCGCGUGCGGGAUGACGGCCUUCGGGUUGUAAACCGCUUUCGCCUGUGACGAAGCGUGAGUGACGGUAAUGGGUAAAGAAGCACCGGCUAACUACGUG
rnacentral:rRNA from 1 species